GAAAUGCGAUACGUAGUGUGAAUUGCAGAAUUCAGUGAAUCAUCGAAUCUUUGAACGCACAUUGCGCCCUUUGGUAUUCCAAAGGGCAUGCCUGUUCGAGCGUCAUUUGUACCCUCAAGCUUUGCUUGGUGUUGGGCGUCUUUUUGUCUCUCCCCUUGUUGGGGGAGACUCGCCUUAAAACGAUUGGUAGCCGACCUACUGGUUUUCGGAGCGCAGCACAAAUUUGCGCCUUCCAAUCCACGGGGCGGCAUCCAGCAAGCCUUUGUUUUCUAUAACAAAUCCACAUUUUGACCUCGGAUCAGGUAGGGAUACCCGCUGAACUUAAGC
rnacentral:misc_RNA from 1 species